rnacentral:lncRNA from 1 species
UAAAAUAGUUAUUAAAUAGGAAAAUAAAUAGAUCUUAAAUAGCUAUUUAAUUCCUAUUCAUAGAAAGUUGUGGCGAACUUUGUUCCAAAUAGUUAUUAAAUAGCUAUUUUUAAACUAUGUUUUCUUUUAUUUUUCAUUUUUAGAGCCAUUCCUAGAAUAGUUAUUAAAUAGCAAAACAAGUAGAUCUUAAAUAGCUAUUUAAUUCCUAUUCAUAGAAAGUUGUAGCGAAUUUUGGUCAAAAUGGCUAUUAAAUAGCUAUUUUUACACUAUGUUUACUUUUAUUUUUAGGGCUAUUGUUAAAAUAGCUAAUAAGUAGCACAGUGCCUUUUUUAAGGAAUUUAAAACGCGAGUCUGAAGAGAGAUUUUGUAGAACUUGAAUUUAUUAACUUCUCCUAUAUAGACAAUAACUUCAACCCUUUGUAGCUAUAAUCGUGCAGCUAUAACCAGUGGCGUAGCCAGACCUUAAUUUUUUUUUUUUUUUUUUUUUUUGGGGGGGGGG